rnacentral:snoRNA from 1 species
AGUCCCAUUUCAGUACCUUCCACUCCUAUCACUAUGAAUGGACGGCUAUGCUAAUGGGAUAGAAAAACACUGUCAUGGUCUGAGGGUGUGGCUAACAUACUGUGUACCUCACUAAAUAAUAUGACAGAACAUAAUAUC